GUGAGGAAUAUUGGUCAAUGGACGAGAGUCUGAACCAGCCAAGUCGCGUGAAGGAAGACGGUUCUAUGAAUUGUAAACUUCUUUUGUGCAGGAAUAAAGUGGGUUACGUGUAACCUUUUGUAUGUACUGUACGAAUAAGGAUCGGCUAACUCCGUGCCAGCAGCCGCGGUAAUACGGAGGCUCCGAGCGUUAUCCGGAUUUCUUGGGUUUACAGGGUGCGUAGGUGGAUUGUUAAGUCAGCGGUGAAAGUUUGCAGAUUAACUGUAAAAUUGCCGUUGAAACUGUCGGUCUUGAGUGCAAAUGAGGUAGGCGGAAUGUGUUGUGUAGCGGUGAAAUGCUUAGAUAUAACACAGAACUCCGAUUGCGAAGGCAGCUUACUGGGAUGCAACUGACACUGAUGCACGAAAGCGUGGGUAUCAAACAGGAUUAGAUACCCCUGUAGUCC
rnacentral:rRNA from 1 species